rnacentral:rRNA from 1 species
AGUCGAGCGGUAAGGCCUUUCGGGGUACACGAGCGGCGAACGGGUGAGUAACACGUGGGUGAUCUGCCCUGCACUUCGGGAUAAGCCUGGGAAACUGGGUCUAAUACCGGAUAUGACCUCCUAUCGCAUGGUGGGUGGUGGAAAGAUUUAUCGGUGCAGGAUGGGCCCGCGGCCUAUCAGCUUGUUGGUGGGGUAAUGGCCUACCAAGGCGACGACGGGUAGCCGACCUGAGAGGGUGACCGGCCACACUGGGACUGAGACACGGCCCAGACUCCUACGGGAGGCAGCAGUGGGGAAUAUUGCACAAUGGGCGAAAGCCUGAUGCAGCGACGCCGCGUGAGGGAUGACGGCCUUCGGGUUGUAAACCUCUUUCAGCAGGGACGAAGCGCAAGUGACGGUACCUGCAGAAGAAGCACCGGCUAACUACGUGCCAGCAGCCGCGGUAAUACGUAGGGUGCAAGCGUUGUCCGGAAUUACUGGGCGUAAAGAGUUCGUAGGCGGUUUGUCGCGUCGUUUGUGAAAACCAGCAGCUCAACUGCUGGCUUGCAGGCGAUACGGGCAGACUUGAGUACUGCAGGGGAGACUGGAAUUCCUGGUGUAGCGGUGAAAUGCGCAGAUAUCAGGAGGAACACCGGUGGCGAAGGCGGGUCUCUGGGCAGUAACUGACGCUGAGGAACGAAAGCGUGGGUAGCGAACAGGAUUAGAUACCCUGGUAGUCCACGCCGUAAACGGUGGGCGCUAGGUGUGGGUUCCUUCCACGGAAUCCGUGCCGUAGCUAACGCAUUAAGCGCCCCGCCUGG